UAAGGAAUAUUGGACAAUGGACGCAAGUCUGAUCCAGCCAUGCCGCGUGAAGGAUGAAUGCCCUCUGGGUUGUAAACUUCUUUUAUAGGGGAAGAAAGAUACUUUUUUUAAGGUAGUUGACGGUACCCUAUGAAUAAGCACCGGCUAACUCCGUGCCAGCAGCCGCGGUAAUACGGAGGGUGCAGGCGUUAUCCGGAUUUACUGGGUUUAAAGGGUGCGUAGGCGGGCAUGUAAGUCAGUGGUGAAAUACCGGAGCUUAACUUCGGAACUGCCAUGGAUACUAGAUGUCUUGAAUAUUGUGGAGGUAAGCGGAAUAUGUCAUGUAGCGGUGAAAUGCAGAGAUAUGACAUAGAACACCGAUUGCCGAGCCAGCUGGCUACGCAAAUAUUGACGCUGAGGCACGAAAGCGUGGGGAUCAAACA
rnacentral:rRNA from 1 species